rnacentral:rRNA from 1 species
GAUGAACGCUGGCGGCGUGCCUAAUACAUGCAAGUCGAGCGAACGGACGAGAAGCUUGCUUCUCUGAUGUUAGCGGCGGACGGGUGAGUAACACGUGGAUAACCUACCUAUAAGACUGGGAUAACUUCGGGAAACCGUAGCUAAUACCGGAUAAUAUUUUGAACCGCAUGGUUCAAAAGUGAAAGACGGUCUUGCUGUCACUUAUAGAUGGAUCCGCGCUGCAUUAGCUAGUUGGUAAGGUAACGGCUUACCAAGGCAACGAUGCAUAGCCGACCUGAGAGGGUGAUCGGCCACACUGGAACUGAGACACGGUCCAGACUCCUACGGGAGGCAGCAGUAGGGAAUCUUCCGCAAUGGGCGAAAGCCUGACGGAGCAACGCCGCGUGAGUGAUGAAGGCCUUCGGAUCGUAAAACUCUGUUAUUAGGGAAGAACAUAUGUGUAAGUAACUGUGCACAUCUUGACGGUACCUAAUCAGAAAGCCACGGCUAACUACGUG